UGCCAGCCGCCGCGGUAAUACGAAGGUCCCAAGCGUCGUUCGGAAUCACUGGGCGUAAAGCGUGUGUAGGCUGCGCGGAAAGUCAAAUGUGAAAGCCCUGGGCUCAACCUAGGAACUGCAUCCAAAACUAACUCACUAGAGUACGAUAGAGGGAGGUAGAAUUCAUAGUGUAGCGGUGGAAUGCGUAGAUAUUAUGAAGAAUACCAGUGGCGAAGGCGGCCUCCUGGAUCUGUACUGACACUAAGGUGCGAAAGCGUGGGUAGCGAACAGGAUUAGAUA
rnacentral:rRNA from 1 species